CUCCUUCUCACAGUCUGAAACUCGUCAAAGCAUGGGACUUGUCUAGCCCAACCUCCCCACUCUUCCUGUAGCUCUGAAGGCUCAGUGACCUUGGCUACUGUCCCACCUGCUGAGGAGCCCGCAGUGUCUCCACUGCUCAGCCAUGCUCCUGCUGCUCAUCUCAGUGCUUGAGGUGAUUUUUGCCCCAAGAGGAACCGGAGCCCAGUCGGUGACCCAGCCCGAUGCCCACGUCACUGUUUCUGAAGAAGCCUUUCUGGAGCUGAGAUGCAACUAUUCCUAUAGUGGAACUCCUUAUCUCUACUGGUAUGUGCAGUACCCCAACCAAGGUCUCCAGCUUCUCCUCCAGUACGUAUCAGGGAACACCAAGGUUCAAGGUAUCAAAGGUUUCAAGGCUGAAUUUAAGGACAGUGAAACCUCUUUCCACCUGAAGAAACCCUCAGCCCGUUGGAGCGACUCAGCUGUGUACUUCUGUGCUGUGAGUGACACAGUGCCUGGGACUGCAGGGGGAGCCGAACGCAAACCUCCUGAGACACUGGGACUUCUUGUGACUCAAAAACUCAAGAGAGAGUUUUCCAAGAUCUUAUUUCAGGGAAGGGAAAUAGGGCAGGACAGGCUGGGCUCUGGGGAACACUUACCUCCUGAAGAGUUGCUUCAACAGCAAUGCUGUGCUACAUUCAGAUAG